UACAGAGUGUGCAACCGUUGUUCGGAAUUACUGGGCUUAAAGCGCACGUAGGCGGUGUCGUAAGUGUCAGGUGAAAUCCCACGGCUCACCCGUGGAACUGCCUGGCAUACUGCGAUACUCGAGUGUGGUAGGGGAGAGCGGAACUCCUGGUGGAGCGGUGAAAUGCGUAGAUAUCAGGAGGAACACCGGUGGCGAAGGCGGCUCUCUGGUCCACAACUGACGCUGAGGUGCGAAAGCUAGGGGAGCAAACGGG
rnacentral:rRNA from 1 species